GGGUCCCAGGGGGGUCCCCAGGCCGGGGGUCCGCUCUCACCGCGCAGCAGAGCCCUCACGAAGCGCCCGGCUCCCGGCACCGCCAGCCACCAACUCCCGGCAUCGCGCACGGUCAGGAGCCCCGCGGCCACCAGAGCCCUGCUGGGGCCACCAGAACCCGGCUGGGGCCACCAGAGCCCUGCCGGGGCCACCAAAACCCGGCUGUGGCCACCAAAACCCGGCUGUGGCCACCAAAACCCGGCUGUGGCCACCAAAACCCGGCUGGGGCCACCAAAACCCGGCUGGGGCCACCAAAACCCUGCUGUGGCCACCAAAACCCAGCCAUGGCCACCAGAACCCGGCUGUGGCCACCAGAACCCGGCUGGGGCCACCAAAACCCGGCUGUGGCCACCAGAGCCCUGCUGGGGCCACCAAAACCCUGCUGGGGCCACCAAAACACGGCUGUGGCCACCAAAGCCUGGCUGUGGCCAUCAGAACCUGGCUGUGGCUACCAGAACCCGGCUGUGGCCACCAGAACCCGGCUGUGGCCACCAGAACCCCCCAGAGCCACCCUGGGGGUCCCAAACCCCACCCUGGGCUGUCCCCAGGUCCCCCCAGGUGUCCCCAUGACCCCCAGGUGUCCCCAGGUGUGUUCCAGGUGUGUUUUUGGUGUCCCCAGGUGUCCCCCCAUGACCCCCAGCUGUCCCCAAAUGUCCCCAGGUGUCCCCAGGUGUCCCCAGGUGUCCCCAGGUGAGGUUUGGGGUGUCCCCAGGUGUGUCCCAGGUGUCCUUAGGUGUGUCCCAGGUGUCCCCAGGUGUGUCCCCAGGUGUCCCAGGUGUCCCCAGGUCCCCGCAGGUGUCCCCAGGUGUCCCCAGGUGUCCCCAGCUGUCCCCAGGUGUCCCCAGGGGUCCCCAG
rnacentral:lncRNA from 1 species